rnacentral:lncRNA from 1 species
UCGCAGGCCUCUCCCAGCGGCACGGUGGCUUGGUGCAAGAAAGGUCGAAACAGUCAUCGGUGCAAGGGGAAGGCAAGCCRUCCUCGUGGGCUGGUGUGGAGAGCAUCACGGGGACGGCUGGGUGCCAGGGGGAGCGGAGCGACAGAGAACGCAGUGGUGGCCCACUGGUCCUCCCUCUCUACCCCACCUCCAGACUGUGCGAGAACCAAGGAUGAUAAACAGCGUUCAUUGAGCUGUGCUCCUGAUAYRGAUCCUUGCAUGAAUUUCACGAAGCGGGGAAAAUGGACAACCCUGCUGGUAGCUUGUGAGCCCUUGUCACAGAACUGAGCUUGAACAAUUUCGAUUAAAGCUGUAUGUUCGAGACUGUCAUUAGACCUGCAUUAAAUUACAUAUCUGGAAUGUUAAAAAUAAAGAGUACUGAAGCUUAUUCACAGCUGCCUGUGCCCUCCUUGUCGUGGUGUCUGAGUGCUUUUGGGCAAGACAUGGCUUUUUUCAAGUGUUACGAUGUGCCUGGCUGGACCUGUGCCGCUCACUGCAUUGCCUAGCCACGAUUCAUGGAUUACACUGCCCAGGUGAGUACCUCAUGCCAAACCACCUCUUUCUUCUCCACCUUUCCCCUGUCACUU